UACGUAGGGUGCAAGCGUUGUCCGGAAUUAUUGGGCGUAAAGAGCUCGUAGGCGGUUCGUCGCGUCGGCUGUGAAAACCUGGGGCUCAACUCUGGGCGUGCGGUCGAUACGGGCAUCACUUGAGUUCGGCAGGGGAGACUGGAAUUCCUGGUGUAGCGGUGAAAUGCGCAGAUAUCAGGAGGAACACCGGUGGCGAAGGCGGGUCUCUGGGCCGAUACUGACGCUGAGGAGCGAAAGCAUGGGUAGCGAACAGG
rnacentral:rRNA from 1 species